UACGGGGGGGGCAAGCGUUGUUCGGAAUUACUGGGCGUAAAGGGCCAGUAGGCGGCCAACUAAGUCCGACGUGAAAUCCCCAGGCUUAACCUGGGAACUGCGUCGGAUACUGGAUGGCUUGAAUUCGGGGAGAGGGAUGCAGAAUUCCAGGUGUAGCGGUGAAAUGCGUAGAUAUCAGGAGGAACACCAAUGGCGAAGGCAGCUCACUGGGACGAUACUGACGCUGAGACGCGAAAGCGUGGGGGAGCAAACAGG
rnacentral:rRNA from 1 species